rnacentral:tRNA from 1 species
GGCUAUAGCUCGAUGGUAGAGCGCUUGCCUCGAAGGUAUGAAGCCCUGGGUUCAAUUCUCAGCACCA